UUUUUUUUUUUUUUAAAGAAGCCUUAUUAUAAUUACUAGUAAUUUUUAUCACAUAUUUUAAAUAGGAAACGAAAUGACAAAAUAGAAUUACUGGUGGGUUGUAUUGCCGAACUUUCAGAAAUUGAGGAGAACAUGCUACUUAGACACGGAGAAAACGACUUCAGUGUCAUGUAUUCCACAAGGAAAAAUUGUGCUCAACUCUGGCUCGGUCCUGCUGCAUUUAUAAAUCAUGGUAAGCUGCCUUCUGAGGCAUCUACACUGUGUGAGGCGUCUACACUGUGUGGGCUGGCUGCCCACAGCUAGUGUGGCCUGGCUGUACUCAGGGGAGUUUGGAAUGGCCAUUAUCUUCAGAUUUAUUAAAUAUGCCCAGUGUGACUUGAGACGUAAACUGUGAAGUUGUCUGGAAAGCCUUUUCAGAUUCUGUAACUUCGUGUUUCAGAUCUUAUCAGCAGUUAAUUGACUUUCUCUUUUGGACAUUUUUCAGAUUGCAGACCUAACUGUAAGGUAAGCAUAAAAGAAACCAAAUACCUCAAAGAUUCUUUGUUUGCCUUGGGUGUGAGAGUCUUAACACAUUACUUCUAUUUCAGUUUGUGUCAACUGGUCGAGAUACAGCAUGCGUUAAGGCUCUGAGAGAUAUUGAACCUGGAGAAGAAAUUUCUUGUUACUAUGGAGAUGGCUUUUUUGGAGAAAAUAAUGAGUUCUGCGAAUGUUAUACUUGUGAAAGGUAAAGAAUCAGACUCUCUGCCUAUUCAGCAUGUAACUGUCAUGAUGGUGUGGUAUUGACCCUGCCCAACCACCCACAUCAUAUGUGUAGAGCUAGCAUGUGCUCUGUAGCUCAGCCCCAAGUGUUGUGUGAAAAACAGAAUCAGAUGUCAUACAGCUGCUACUGAUGGGUCACAGUACAGAAGUGCUUAGGAGAAAACAACAAUAAAUGUAGUCUAUGAGGGUGUGCAAAUGAAAAACACAGUGAGGGUAAUAAGUUUCUACAUAAAUUGUACUAGUUUUACUAGCAGAAUUUUGAAAGGUAAAAUAUGAGACAGUCCCUCAAGAUAAGAUCUGAGUAAAAAGAACUGUGAUGUUGGCUGUGAACACAUAGAUGCCACUCUUUCCAUAAUAAUAAACUGCUUGAAACUUUAUUUUUAGAAUUGACCAAAACUAUAUUAAAGCUUAUAAAGUAUUGUAUGCUUGAUGAAAACCAAGAAAGACAAAAUCAAAAGAACAUUGGGGCAGCCAGGCAGGGUGGUUUAUGCUGAUAAUCCCAGUGUUUGGGAGGCUGAAUCACAUGCACUUGGAAAAGUUUAAGGUAAACCCAGGCCACACAGUACGCUCUCUCUCAAAACAGUCAUAGAAGAAGCCGGGUCCUCAGCACUGAACAACAGCGACCACAACAAAGGUUAAAGGAGGGUUGGGGAGGAAGCGGCUGCAGAGCUACUUAAAGAACAGGGUAGAUCCUGGCGAUUGAGCGGCUGCUAUAGUGUUACUUGUCUAUGAUUCCAGCACUCAGAGAGUGAGGCAGGAGGAUUAGAAGUUCUGGUCAUUCUUGGUAAGUAGAGCAUUUGAGACCAGCCCGAGAAAUAAGAGACCUUGCCUCUUUUUUUUUUUAAAGGAGAGUUACCUUAACAGAUAUUAAAGAUUAUUGUAUUAUAAUGGUUAUGAUCAAACUUGAUGCAUUGGUUAGGAAUGAACAAUAGUGAACAGAGAAUUCUAAAACAAGCAGAGUGCACGUGGGAAGUGAGUGCUACCUCUGCUUCUGGGGAAAAAUAGGCUAGGCUUCCAAAUACAGUUUAAAUAAACAAUCUAAAAUGAUUAGGAAAAGAUCUGCCUAGGGCCGUGAGAGUUAAGAGCAUGUGCUGCUCUUAACAGGACCCGAGUUUAGUUCCCGACACCCAUGCUGUGCUGUUUCCGGCACUACAGGGAGACUGACACCCUCUUGUCCUCUGAGGGUUUGUGUGUUCAUGUGUAUACAUGUAAUU
rnacentral:lncRNA from 1 species